GCGGUGGCUCAAGCCUGUAAUCCCAGCACUUUGGGAGGCCGAGGCGGGUGGAUCACGAGUUAAGAGAUCAAGAUUAUCUUGGUCAACAUGAUGAAACCCUGUCUCUA